AACAUAGUCACCAUCUUGUCUUCCUGUUAGAGUGACAGCGGAGGUGAAGCACAACCCGACGGGGACCAUAGUGUGUAAGGCCCAAGGGGAAUGGAACGGCACCCUGGAGUUCACCUACAGCAGUGGGGAGACCAAGGUCAUCAACACCUCCAAGCUGCCUGUCAUCAGGAAGAAGAUACGACCCAUGGAGAAACAGGGACACUACGAAUCACGGCGUCUGUGGCAGCAUGUUACCUCAGCUCUCAGGUCAGGAAACAUUGACUCCGCUACAGAGCACAAACAUUGUCUGGAGGAGAGGCAGAGAGCAGAGGGCCGACAGAGAGCUGCCUCCAACACACCCUGGAAACCCAAGUACUUCAUCAAGGAGGGCGAGGGCUGGGUGUAUCACAACCCCUUGUGGAAGACUCACUGACGAGGGGAGGGGCCUCGGGGGGGGGAGGGGCAACAUGCCAGC